rnacentral:rRNA from 1 species
AUUGAACGCUGGCGGCAGGCCUAACACAUGCAAGUCGAACGGUAGCACAGAGAGCUUGCUCUCGGGUGACGAGUGGCGGACGGGUGAGUAACGUCUGGGAAACUGCCCGAUGGAGGGGGAUAACUACUGGAAACGGUAGCUAAUACCGCAUAACGUCGCAAGACCAAAGUGGGGGACCUUCGGGCCUCACACCAUCGGAUGUGCCCAGAUGGGAUUAGCUAGUAGGUGGGGUAAUGGCUCACCUAGGCGACGAUCCCUAGCUGGUCUGAGAGGAUGACCAGCCACACUGGAACUGAGACACGGUCCAGACUCCUACGGGAGGCAGCAGUGGGGAAUAUUGCACAAUGGGCGCAAGCCUGAUGCAGCCAUGCCGCGUGUAUGAAGAAGGCCUUCGGGUUGUAAAGUACUUUCAGCGGGGAGGAAGGCGGUGAAGUUAAUAGCCGCGUCGAUUGACGUUACCCGCAGAAGAAGCACCGGCUAACUCCGUGCCAGCAGCCGCGGUAA